rnacentral:rRNA from 1 species
UGGGGAAUAUUGGGCAAUGGGGGAAACCCUGACCCAGCGACGCCGCGUGAGGGAAGACGGCCUUCGGGUUGUAAACCUCUUUUGUACGGGAAGAAGGAAGUGACGGUACUGUACGAAUAAGUCCCGGCUAACUACGUGCCAGCAGCCGCGGUAAUACGUAGGGGGCGAGCGUUGUCCGGAAUGAUUGGGCGUAAAGGGCGCGUAGGCGGCCGAGCAAGUCAGUAGUGGAAGUCCAAUUUUCAAGGUUGGAAGUGCUAUUGAAACUGCAGGGCUUGAGUGCAGGAGAGGUUAUCGGAAUUCCCGGUGUAGCGGUGAAAUGCGUAGAGAUCGGGAGGAACACCAGUGGCGAAGGCGGGUAACUGGACUGCAACUGACGCUGAGGCGUGAAAGUGUGGGGAGCAAACAGG